GAUGAACGCUGGCGGCGUGCCUAAUACAUGCAAGUCGAGCGAGUGGAUUAAGAGCUUGCUCUUAUGAAGUUAGCGGCGGACGGGUGAGUAACACGUGGGUAACCUGCCCAUAAGACUGGGAUAACUCCGGGAAACCGGGGCUAAUACCGGAUAACAUUUUGGACCGCAUGGUUCGAAAUUGAAGGGCGGCUUCGGCUGUCACUUAUGGAUGGACCCGCGUCGCAUUAGCUAGUUGGUGAGGUAACGGCUCACCAAGGCAACGAUGCGUAGCCGACCUGAGAGGGUGAUCGGCCACACUGGGACUGAGACACGGCCCAGACUCCUACGGGAGGCAGCAGUAGGGAAUCUUCCGCAAUGGACGAAAGUCUGACGGAGCAACGCCGCGUGAGUGAUGAAGGCUUUCGGGUCGUAAAACUCUGUUGUUAGGGAAGAACAAGUGCUAGUUGAAUAAGCUGACACCUUGACGGUACCUAACCAGAAAGCCACGGCUAACUACGUGCCAGCAGCCGCGGUAA
rnacentral:rRNA from 1 species